UCUCUUCAGAUGGUAUAAAUCUUUUGCCUUUUACUAAAGAUUUCCAUAAAGAGG
rnacentral:snRNA from 1 species